GAAAUGGAAACAGCACCCUUGCCGUCGUGUCCUUCAACCCCUCGCUGGAACGUCGAGAGGCCCUUCCUCACUGGCCGUUUCCACCAGGAAACAAAAGGAGCCUCGAGGCUUGCUGGUACAAAGGGACUCUCCUUAGAUUCCUUUAGCAGCCCCGGAAUUGACAAGGCCAUUGGUUGUUAUGAUGCUGCAGUCCAGGAACUUAUUGUCAUCGACAAUCUUAUGUCUGCAUUAGUUGGAAUUGAAGGACAAUAUAUUUUGAUCAAAAGAGUCCAUGGAAAGGAGGAUGAAAUUACUUUCCAGAUUGACGCUUCAAUGGAUUUGGCACUGCAGGAAAGAGCAAAAUGGAUAUUUCCUUUAUGUGAGAGCUAUCUUUUGAUUGACCAGUUUGUUGAGUCAAGGUCACAAUUCAAGAGUGGCGUAGUUAAUCAUGCCUUUGCUGCUGCACUCAGGGCACUUCUUCUGGAUUACCAGGCCAUGGUAGCACAACUUGAACACCAAUUUCGACUUGGAAAACUUUCCAUACAAGGAUUGUGGUUUUACUGUCAGCCCUUGAUGGGCUCCAUGCAAGCAUUAUCUACUGUUGUAAAGAAGGCUUCAGCAAAUAAUUUUACAGGAUCUGCAGUCCUUAACCUCCUGCAGAGCCAGGCUAAGGCCAUGGCUGGUGAUAGUGCAGUGAGAUCAUUGCUAGAGAAGAUGACACAUUGUGCAAGCAAUGCUUAUCUGGGCAUAUUGGAGAGGUGGGUCUACGAAGGAGUCAUCGAUGAUCCUUAUGGUGAAUUUUUCAUUGCAGAGAACAAAUCUCUUCAUAAGGAGAGCCUCACACAGGAUUAUGAUGCUAAGUACUGGAGGCAACGUUACAGCCUUAAAGAAGGAAUUCCUAGCUUCUUUGCAAAUAUUGCUGGAACAAUAUUGACCACAGGAAAAUACUUAAAUGUUAUGAGAGAAUGUGGGCACAAUGUUCAGGUUCCUUCCUCAAAAAAUUCCAAAUUGAUGAACUUUGGCUCGAACCAUCAGUAUCUUGAAUGCAUAAAAGCAGCUUAUGAUUUUGCCAGCAGUGAGCUCUUAAACCUCAUUAAAGAAAAGUAUGAUCUAAUGGGAAAGCUGCGGUCUUUAAAGCACUAUCUUCUUCUUGAUCAGGGUGAUUUUUUGGUUCAUUUCACGGACAUAGCUCGAGAUGAGCUUACAAAAAAGCUUGAUGAAAUUUCGGUGGAGAAGCUUCAGUCUCUGUUAGACCUUGCUUUGCGUACCACAGCUGCUGCAGCAGAUCCAUGUCAUGAGGACUUGACAUGUUGUGUGGAAAGAUCUUCUUUACUUAAAACACUGGGCAACCUGAAAGAUCUAGGAACAAGGGCUUUUCCCGAUAAUAAUGAUCUAGAGGAGCCAAUGAGCAUUACAGGCCUUGAGACAUUUUCUUUGAGUUACAAGGUUCAAUGGCCAUUGUCUAUAGUUAUUUCAAAAAAAGCCCUAACAAAAUACCAGUUGAUUUUCCGCUUUCUGUUCCACUGUAAACAUGUGGACCGCCAGCUUUGUGGGGCUUGGCAAGUGCACCAAGGAGUUCGUGCCCUUAACAUGCGGGGAACUGCCAUCCCUAGAUCAGCUCUUCUUUGUCGUAGUAUGUUGAAAUUCAUCAACAGCCUUCUACACUAUCUAACAUUUGAGGUUCUUGAACCUAAUUGGCACAUGAUGUAUAAUAAAAUGCAGACUGCAAAAAGUAUAGAUGAGGUUAUCCAAUAUCAUGAUUUGUUCCUUGAUAAAUGUCUCAAAGAAUGUUUGCUGCUUCUACCGGAACUACUCAAGAAGGUGGAGAGGCUGAAAUUAGUGUGCCUGCAGUAUGCAGCUGCAUCUCAGUGGCUGAUAUCGUCAUCUGUUGAUAUUCCAAAGCUAGAAGAGCCCUCUGAUGUUUCACUCAGGUCAGAGACGUCCAAGCAAUGGAGGUCAAGAAGCCAAUCUCAGGCAGUAAAAAUGAUGACUCAGAAUACAACAGUCACAGAGUCUAUACUGAAAUUUGAGAGGGAAUUCAAUGCUGAGCUUCAGAGUCUGGGUCCAAUAUUGAGCAGUAAUUCCCAAGCAGAGCCAUAUUUGACUCAUCUUGCACAGUGGAUUCUUGGCAUCAGAAAUGACCAAUAAAAUUUUAGUGUUGUUUUCGUCUAGCAAUUGCUAUUGAUUAGUGUGAAUACAUUUUUUAUGGUUUGCCAGUCGUUUGUUGUGUAGAAAAUGAUAUGCUUCAUCGUCUGUCUGAGAAACAGGAAGCCAGUGCUUACCAGUGUUUGUAUUAUAGGGCCCUAUUUGGUAACACAAGUUGUUUUAGGCCUAACCUGCUGGGGGCUGGGGAGCCUGUCUUCUUUGUAUCCUGUUGUACGCUGGAUAUGCAUCACGGGUUUCAGCUAGCUCAAUAGUGUAAGAUUUGCAUACAGCCUGAAGAAUGUACCUUUGGGUCUUCUGCUUAAUCUCAACAGUUUAUGUUUGUCCGACAAUUAUAGACUUGGGACAUUGGAUUCACGAAUUAUUUUGAAUUGUUUUCUUUGAUGUGGUCAAUUUUGAUAAAUUUUUCUAAUUAAACUAAUUCCCGCAUCUUUCAUCAAAAUAAAUAAAUAAAUGCCUUCGUCCAUUUUCUUGGUUAUUACUCCCUACUCAUACAUAUAACUUGUCCGAUCCAUGACAGACCUGCAGAAAUGGAUACUGCAUUGAAUUA
rnacentral:misc_RNA from 1 species